UUUAAAUAGCUGCAGUAUAUUAACUGUACAAAGGUAGCGUAGUAAUUAGUCUUUUAAUUGAGGUCUUGUAUGAAUGGUUUAACAAGAAGAAAACUUUAUUAAGUUAAUUUUAUUAAUUUUAUUUUUUAGUUAAAAAGCUAAAAUUUUUAAAUGGGACGAUAAGACCCUAUAGAUCUUUAAAUUUUUACUAUUUAAAUUAGUUUAAGGUUAUUUAAAUUUUAUUUGUAAAAAAUUUUUUGUUGGGGUGACAGAUAAAAUUUUCAAACUUUAAUAGUUAUUUACAUAGAUUUAUGGACAUUUGAACCUUAAUUUUGGGUUAUUAAAAUUAGAUACCUUAGGGAUAACAGCGUAAUAAAUUUGUAUAGUUCUUAUAGAUAAAUUUGUUUACGACCUCGAUGUUGAAUUAAUCUGAAGUUUUGGGGCAGAAAUUAAAAUUUUAGGUCUGUUCGACCUUUAAAAGAUUACA
rnacentral:rRNA from 1 species